AAAUUUUUUUUUGUCGGUUCGUAUUUGUAGUAUAUACACCUUUAAUUGAAAACAUCUUUCAAUUAAAUACUUUCAUUUUUUUUUGUUGAACUCUGAAUUUCUAAUUUUUUUUCUUUUGUUUCAUUUGAAAUUUGUCUACCAGAUUUAUCAUAUCUCAACCGGAUUGAUUGAUUCGAAUCGAAUCACUUUGUUGUUGCUAUCGGUUACGAUCAAACAAAUUUUUUGUUUGUUUGUUUGUUCGUUAUCAUUUUCAUACGAAUACCUAACCUUCAUCUACCUACAACUGACUGGAUUUUUUUUUUGUUAUUGUUGAUUUUAUUCAUGCAUUCUACUUCAUACACACAUACACAAACACACAAGCAUCCAUUAUACACAGACACUUCGCAAUAUUGAUUCAGUUUUUUUUUUCAUUCAUCAUGAUAUGAUGAUCAUUAUCAUUUCACAGACACAACAGACAAAUAUACACUUACCGAAAGAGAUCAUGACCAUGAUAUAAUUGCUAAUAAUCUUGUCAUGUUCUUUUGUUGUUACUAACCAAGUUCUCAUUGUCAUUGAAUAAUAAUCAUGAUCAGCAUAAGUUAUAUUAGAUGUCUCUUAAAAUAUUUGUAAUCAUGUGAUUGAAAAUUUUUGAAUUUUUUUUUGAAGUAUAUAGGAAUACGUGCUAUAGAGAAUUGAGUGAAAAGUGAAAGUGAAAAGUUCAACACAUCAUGACUUUAGGGCGUUGGCGUCUAUUAGAUCCAUACACACACAGAUGAUAUAUAAACUUUAUUGUACCUUCACUAUUCGAUAUACUAGAAUUUAUUAUCGGUUUGUGAUAAUAUAAAUCCAGUAUUCUUUCUUUCUCAUCUAGACAUACAUACACACAUACCGAACAUCUUUAUCCUUGAGUUUAUUUUUUUUUGUUCUUUUGUCAUUGGCAAAUUUUUUUUUUUGCUGUUUUUGUUCUUGUUGCAGAGUUCAAAUUCGGCCAAAUGCCUUCAAACACAAUCACGCAAUACUUAAUGCAUUUACAUCACAUCAAACAACCUCCACCCAAAAAUGGGUCUGUCCCAAAUGUAUGCUUUAUUCAUACAAAAAAAAAAAAAAACAUACAUACACACAUGACAACCACCACCACCACAAUCAGUAGAAGUAGCCAAAGAUUUUAUUUUUACCGGAUUCUUUUUUUACUCUGUUUUCUGGUGCCUGCGUAUAAAUGCUUUCAGUAAUGUAUGAAAAUUAGGGUGGCUGGUUCAACAAAUUUGUUCGCAUUCUUUUGGUUCAUUUCUCCUUCUUCGUAUGUAUGUGUGUGUGUACCAUACUUAGCCACUAAUAUAAGGUUCAACAACCAUCAAAUCAAUCGACUCUUACACAUAUCAAACACUUGUUCCGUUUGAGACAAAAAAUGCAUGAUACUUUACAUUCUGUGCAUCGAAUACGUAAUAUUCAUUCAUGUUUGUUCAUUCUCUCAUCGUUCAUCAACUUGUAUCAU